GCCGAGCUCAGUCACGGGAGCUUGUCACCCAUGUGGGGGCAUUGAGGUGGUGUGGAUGUUUGGUGCGGUUUCUUGGCCUGGGCUUGUGAUGUAACUUUGCUGGCCUGCCCGUUCCAAGUUGGUAGUGGGCUGGGUGGCUGGGGCGAAAGCUUCGGCCUCUCAGGCCCUGAAGUGGCAGGCACCACGUUAGGCUGGUUUCACAGAGCAGCGUUCACUGCCCGCUUCCAACGGUGGAAGGAUAACAGGCCGCUGCAGCAUGGGCCCACUAUUGGCCUAGGACCCCUCCAUAAACAGACCACCAUCUUU
rfam:Triticum urartu cultivar G1812 contig997431, whole genome shotgun sequence.